GGAAGAUAAGGCUGUAAACCAGCACAUCACAAAACCCACUUCCCAGCUUUUCUUGGACCUAGAUGAUUGGUUAGCCAGUGAAAUGGAAAAGUUCCUUGUGUCUCAGGAACACAAACUACACCCCAGCCCCCUGCAUUGGGCUCCAGAGCCAGGUAAUCAGUGGGUGUCUUCUGUGCUGCAGCUGCAAGAACAAUGGCACUCAAAAUAAGAGCUGUCACUUGAUAAAAUCACGCUGGCCGGCAUUGUCGAGGCAGAGAGAGAACAUAAAUGUGGUGCUAAUCAGUUGGAAGGUAAAGAUGGCACCUGCCAAGAAAAAGAAAGUGAUGCUGUAGCAGGAGAGAGGACAAAGAAUAGUGCCUGCUAGCACCUUCAUCCCUGGCAAGUAUCCUAAUAGGCCC